AGUGAACGCUGGCGGUAGGCCUAACACAUGCAAGUCAAACGGCAGCACAGGAGAGCUUGCUCUCUGGGUGGCGAGUGGCGGACGGGUGAGGAAUACAUCGGAAUCUACUCUGUCGUGGGGGAUAACGUAGGGAAACUUACGCUAAUACCGCAUACGACCUACGGGUGAAAGCAGGGGACCUUCGGGCCUUGCGCGAUUGAAUGAGCCGAUGUCGGAUUAGCUAGUUGGCGGGGUAAAGGCCCACCAAGGCGACGAGCCGUAGCUGGUAUGAGAGGAUGAGCAGCCACACUGGAACUGAGACACGGUCCAGACUCCUACGGGAGGCAGCAGUGGGGAAUAUUGGACAAUGGGCGCAAGCCUGAUCCAGCCAUACCGCGUGGGUGAAGAAGGCCUUCGGGUUGUAAAGCCCUUUUGUUGGGAAAGAAAUCCAGCUGGCUAAUACCCGGUUGGGAUGACGGUACCCAAAGAAUAAGCACCGGCUAACUUCGUGCCAGCAGCCGCCGUAA
rnacentral:rRNA from 1 species